rnacentral:rRNA from 1 species
AGAAUCAACGCUGGCGGCGUGCCUAACACAUGCAAGUCGAACGCGAAAGGUCCCGCAACGGGAUUAGUAGAGUGGCGAACGGGUGAGUAACACGUGGGUGACCUACCUUCGAAUGGGGGAUAACGUCCCGAAAGGGACGACUAAUACCGCAUAACAUCCUGCCUUUGAACAGGCGGAGAUCAAAGCCGGGGAUCGCAAGACCUGGCGUUUGAAGAGGGGCCCGCGUCUGAUUAGCUAGUUGGUGAGGUAACGGCUCACCAAGGCGACGAUCAGU